UGAGGAAUAUUGGGCAAUGCCCGCAAGGGUGACCCAGCAACGCCGCGUGGAGGAUGAAUGUCGUAAGAUUGUAAACUCCUGUUAGAGGGGAAGAAUAGUACCGGUUGGACCGGUAUAUGACUGUACCCUCAGAGAAAGCCCCGGCUAACUACGUGCCAGCAGCCGCGGUAAUACGUAGGGGGCAAGCGUUGUCCGGAUUUACUGGGUGUAAAGGGCGCGCAGGCGGGAUAAAAAGUCAGUGGUGAAAUCCUACAGCUUAACUGUAGAACUGCCUUUGAUACUUUUAUUCUUGAGUUCGGGAGAGAGACGGAAUUCCAGGUGUAGUGGUGGAAUACGUAGAUAUCUGGAAGAACACCAGUUGCGAAGGCGGUCUCUUGGUCCGACACUGACGCUGAGGCGCGAAAGCGUGGGGAGCAAAC
rnacentral:rRNA from 1 species